AGCGCAGUGGCAGAGUUAUCUAACGCGCAAGACUGUUAGUCUUCUUCCCCUUUGUGUCAACUGUACAGUAAUUUUUUAACACUUUCCAGAGAAAUAUUCUUCUUUUCGGGAGCGUCUGUUCAAAUCAGGCCUGCGUCG